rnacentral:rRNA from 1 species
UACGGAGGGUCCGAGCGUUAAUCGGAAUUACUGGGCGUAAAGCGCACGCAGGCGGUUAAUUAAGUCAGAUGUGAAAGCCCAGGGCUCAACCUUGGAAUUGCAUUUGAAACUGGUUGACUAGAGUCUUGGAGAGGGGAGUGGAAUUUCUGGUGUAGCGGUGAAAUGCGUAGAUAUCAGAAGGAACAUCAGUGGCGAAGGCG